ensembl:ncRNA C48C5.9 ncRNA
CGAUGAAAAACGAAAAACACUGAUGACGAAAAGAUAGAGAAAAAACUAGAGGGUCGCCUGGCUCUCUGGCUCACUCGGUCGGCUCAUUUUGCCUCUCGUACGAUAUUAUGCAUUUCUGUUUUUGUCUGUCUUCAC